rnacentral:tRNA from 1 species
GUUUUUAUAGUUGAAUUACAACAGUAGCUUUUCGUGUUAUAGGUCUUGGUGUAAGGCCAAGUUAAAACC